rnacentral:tRNA from 1 species
GCCUGGGUGGCUCAGUCGGUUGAGCGUCCGACUUCGGCUCAGGUCACGAUCUCACGGUUUGUGAGUUCGAGCCCCACGUCGGGCU